UGUUUAGUGUAGCUGGUUAGCUAGCAACAUUUUCGUUUAGGAAUAUGUAAUCCAUGACAAAUGAUGUGUGUACAGGUUGAACAAAUUGCUGCAUCGCUUGUGCGGGAAUUUCUCUGUCGGAAGGUUGUUUACAGAGGUUGUCUGUCCAUCACAUUGUACAUUAUCAUCAUUUGAAGCAUCAGAUACUCACCCCACAACUACCCAGAGAAGUAUCUGGAGCCAUAAACUUAGCCAGAGCCAGCAGGACCGACAGCCUGUACAUUCCUUCCUAGAUAAUGACAUCUCCACUAAGAGGGAAUCCUUUUCAGACAAAAAUACUGUUGUCACCUCAGAGAGUACUCAUAAGAAGAAAACAAGCCGCCUCAGACAAGGCAUGAUUGCAGGUCCCCAUAGCUAGUUCUACCCAGGAAUCCAAUAGAUAAUGCCAGACUCGACACCCUAAUCUUCUUCUGGUAAAUGAUGAAGACAGCAAAAACAGCAGAGAUGGGCCUCCAUUGAUUGUCCAGUCACAGAGAAUGGUUACGGGGCUGACCGAGUUCUCCCCUGCUGAGAGAAAGCCAACAGCCACAUAGCACACCGGGGAAAGGAAGUGAUGAAGAUGGAUAUGGGCUUGAGAGAGUAGGAAAAAAAUAAUAUUGGAUGACGUGGACCAUAUAUUUGAUUGCAGACAUUGAUGAUGAUGAGGUCGAGUUGAGUGAGCUCUCCAGAGUGUCCUUCCACUCCUCCAGUUUGCCUCAGCCCAGUUCUGAUAGUCAACCCAUGGUUUGCAUCCCAAAUGGCACCCUAUUCCUUACAUAGGUCACUACUUUUGACCAGAGCCCUAUGGGCUCUGAUCAAAGGUAGUGCGCUAAAUAGGAAAUAGGGUUCUAUUUGGGCUCGUAUAUGAUUACUGGACAGGAGCUCAAAUAUUUGGCCUGGUUUGAGUUCAAAUGCUGUGAUGUUUAGUGAUAAUGUCUUUCUGUGUUUUCUACCCUGAAAUGGCGCAUUCUUGGAUCUAGCAGCAGUUUUUUGCAGUGCCGAGUGGAGGAGUCAGAGUUUCACAUUCUCAGAUACACCGUAUCUGAGAUAUGGGAUUGUACAGAAGAAGGUAGGAUUGGAUCACCUUUGUAAUGGUAUAGUUAUACCACCCUGCAUAGAGAUAACAUAUCAAUCAGACAGAGGUGCAUCCCAAAUGUCACCAUAUUCCCUAUAUAGUGCACUACUUUUGACCAGGGGCUAUAUGUCAAAAGUAAUGCACUAUAUAGGGAAUAGGGUGCUAUUUGGGACGUAGUACUUAUUAUGGUGAAUUAAAUGUUCUUCACCAACCAUUAAUUAACAUAUAGGAGUGCUUUCUUGACUUACAUCAGUGAGUAUUAAGUCAUAGAACGUUCUGUAAAUUCCAGUAUUUAAUUCCGUCUUGACUUCACAUGGCAUUUUGUCACCAGGAGAUUAAGUCCCUCCGGUACUAUGAGAACACGGGGCCUCACGUUGGCCACUGCUGAGAUCCAAUGGCUGUGUUGUUGUAUUAAUCUUGGACAAGGUUUUUUUGUUGUUGCGCAAGGGGAAUAUUAUAUUACUUUAUAUGUUCAGUGUAAUAAUUUAAACUUGAUUAACCGUGACAUUUAUUUUGGUUGUCAUCGUUCCAUAGGAGCUUGUCAAUUUAUUGUGGUUUUGGACGGGCUUGUAUUGAAUGUCUUCAACAACCACAAGGAGCUCGAUUCAGGCACUGGAAACCUGAACCUUCUUAAGGGAACAAGAGGUCGCAGUGACAUUAAAAUGCCGUCUUUAUUUAGAACGUUAUAAUAUCUGCAAGGUAAAAACACGUGGUUACAUGACACAUCUUCUGCUGUUGAAAUUGCCAUAGAUCUACUGUACAUUCUACAGAUUGCGCCUUUAAAGGUAGACUCAACGAGAUGAUGUUGCAUGCACGAAGUAAACACACGGUGGGUCAAUUAGCGCACCAACUAAGAGGCUUAAGGAGUGAAGCUAAACUUCUCCUCUGUUUUUGGUCCUGUAGUUGCCACAUUGUAGUAGCGUGAAGCGGCCCAGUGCACAUGUGCAGAUACUCUGUGUGACUGUGAGAGCAAAGUCUUGCAACACACUCAUCUCAAUAUCUGCCAUGCUGCUCGUUGCAACGUCACCUCGCUGAGUCUACCUCUACUCAAUCCUUCUGCACUAUUUUAAAAUCACGACUAAUUAGUUAUUAACACUUUCCGCAUAGAGCAACACAAACAACCAAAUAAGUUUUUGUUUUUAGUCCACUCUUUUUGACUUAAUCAAUGCCCGUGGCUACUCUCAUCAACCAAGAUGCUCCAUUUCCAGAUACCUUUUGCUUUUAUGAUCAUGUAUGGUUUGAUAUGUUUUGAAGGCUGAAUUCCAACCUGAAGACUCCCAAGUUCCCUAUCUGGGCGAUGGGCAGCGAGAGCCAUUUCAGCGUGCUCUUCGGUGCGCAGGAGCAGCUGUUGAGUGACCAGUGUGGGCUCAGUGUGGGCUCCUGCUGAUGGCCGAGCCAAUCAGCAGGAGGAAAUCUGCCUCACGCUGUAGCUUGCACAGGAAUAUCUGCCGGCUGCCAAGAUAUCAAAACACUGACCUCAUUCCUCCACUUGAACACUGUAUACGGACAAAAAAGAUGCCAUUGUGGAUUGGAACGACACCAAGCCCAUACUUUGAUUGGCUGGUGGAUAGAAGGUGAUGACAGUCGAUGAGAUUAGGCUUUCCCCGUGGCUGGAGACAAAAUAUACUGCUUUAUUAUUAAAUAGAUGUACUUCCAAGUAUAUAUUUGUAUUGUAUAAAGUAUAUUAUGUGUAUUGUAUAAAUAGUAUUGUCUUUUAUCAACAACCACACGUAUCGACACGAUCAUGGAGGCCAUUUUGUCUAUGUCACUGAUGUCUUGAGAUGUUGCGUCAAUAUAUCCACAUCAAUUUCCCUCAUUGUUUUUGAUGUUACAGUAAGUGGUGCAGGGACUGGUGCAGGGACUGUUGAUGCAUACGCCUUGAAACGAGUCAUUACCUCAUGGUAUCUUACAUGGACAUGCCCAAGAUAAAUAGGAGUGCCUUGGAUUUGUCAUAGCCUAUGACACGCAGCUUUCAAGACCAUUAGUCUUAAUGUAUUACACUAUCCAUAAUGUAUUAUGAUAUGUGGUGUGUAUUUUUGACUGUAAAUAUUUUAUAUGACCGGUCAGAGUAAUCUGUUUUAUUUAGAUAAAAGUUGUGGCUCACCUGUA